rnacentral:rRNA from 1 species
UGGGGAAUUUUGGACAAUUGGGGAAACCCUGAUCCAGCCAUCCCGCGUGUGCGAUGAAGGCCUUCGGGUUGUAAAGCACUUUUGGCAGGAAAGAAACGUCAUGGGUUAAUACCCCGUGAAACUGACGGUACCUGCAGAAUAAGCACCGGCUAACUACGUGCCAGCAGCCGUGGUAAUACGUAGGGUGCAAGCGUUAAUCGGAAUUACUGGGCGUAAAGCGUGCGCAGGCGGUUCGGAAAGAAAGAUGUGAAAUCCCAGAGCUCAACUUUGGAACUGCAUUUUUAACUACCGGGCUAGAGUGUGUCAGAGGGAGGUGGAAUUCCGCGUGUAGCAGUGAAAUGCGUAGAUAUGCGGAGGAACACCGAUGGCGAAGGCAGCCUCCUGGGAUAACACUGACGCUCAUGCACGAAAGCGUGGGGAGCAAACAGG